AAGUCGUAACAAGGUUUCCGUAGGUGAACCUGCGGAAGGAUCAUUAUUGAAUUAUAAAGCCCCUGGUUGCUGCUGGCCCCUCGGGGCAUGUGCACGCCUUGGCAAUAAUCCACCCACACCUGUGAACCAAAUGUAGGCGUCUCUCGGGACGUCUAUGUCUUUCAUAAACACUGUAUGUCUAUAGAAUGUAAUUUAUUAUUGCCAUAAAACGCAAUCAAUACAACUUUCAACAACGGAUCUCUUGGCUCUC
rnacentral:misc_RNA from 1 species